rnacentral:rRNA from 1 species
GAUGAACGCUGGCGGCGUGCCUAACACAUGCAAGUCGAGCGAAGCGCUUAAAUUAGAUUUCUUCGGAAUGACGAUUUUUGUGACUGAGCGGCGGACGGGUGAGUAACGCGUGGGUAACCUGCCUCAUACAGGGGGAUAACAGUUAAAAAUGACUGCUAAUACCGCAUAAGACCCCAGCUUCGCAUGAAGCGGUGGUAAAAACUCCGGUGGUAUGAGAUGGACCCGCGUCUGAUUAGCUAGUUGGUAAGGUAACGGCUUACCAAGGCGACGAUCAGUAGCCGACCUGAGAGGGUGACCGGCCACAUUGGGACUGAGACACGGCCCAGACUCCUACGGGAGGCAGCAGUGGGGAAUAUUGCACAAUGGGGGAAACCCUGAUGCAGCGACGCCGCGUGAAGGAUGAAGUAUUUCGGUAUGUAAACUUCUAUCAGCAGGGAAGAAAGUGACGGUACCUGACUAAGAAGCCCCGGCUAACUACGUG